rnacentral:rRNA from 1 species
GAAGACGUCAAAACAUCAUGCCCCUUAUGACCUGGGCUACACACGUGCUACAAUGGACAGAACAAAGGGCAGGGAAACCGCGAGGUUAAGCCAAUCCCACAAAUCUGUUCUCAGUUCGGAUCGCAGUCUGCAACUUGACUGCGUGAAGCUGGAAUCGCUAGUAAUCGCGGAUCAGCAUGCCGCGGUGAAUACGUUCCCGGGCCUUGUACACACCGCCCGUCACACCACGAGAGUUUGUAAC